ACCCGUUCCCAUACCGAACACGGAAGUUAAGCUUCUUUGCGCCGAUGGUAGUUGGGACUUUGUCCCUGUGAGAGUAGGACGUUGCCAGGC
rnacentral:rRNA from 1 species